GCCUACGGGGGGCAGCAGUAGGGAAUUUUCGUCAAUGGGCGCAAGCCUGAACGAGCAAUGCCGCGUGAACGAGGAAGGUCUUCGGAUCGUAAAGUUCUGUUGAAGGGGAAAAAGAGCGGAGAGGGGAAAUGGUCUCCGAUUGAUAUUACCCUUCGAGGAAGUCACGGCUAACUACGUGCCAGCAGCCGCGGUAAUACGUAGGUGGCGAGCGUUAUCCGGAAUGAUUGGGCGUAAAGGGUGCGUAGGCGGCCUGCUAAGUCUGGAGUGAAAGGUACCGGCUCAACCGGUACAGGCUCUGGAAACUG
rnacentral:rRNA from 1 species